rnacentral:rRNA from 1 species
CGCAACCCUUGCCAUUAGUUGCUACGAAAGGGCACUCGUAAUGGGACUGCCGGUGACAAACCGGAGGAAGGUGGGGAUGACGUCAAGUCCUCAUGGCCCUUAUAGGUGGGCUACACACGUCAUACAAUGGCCGGUACAGAGGGUAGCCAACCCGCGAGGGGGAGCCAAUCCCACAAAGCCGGUCGUAGUCCGGAUCGCAGUCUGCAACUCGACUGCGUGAAGUCGGAAUCGCUAGUAAUCGCGGAUCAGCAUGUCGCGGUGAAUACGUUCCCGGGUCUU